rnacentral:tRNA from 1 species
GACGUUGUGUCAGAGUGGUUAAUGAGGUCGCCUGCUAAGCGAUUCCCUUCGGGGGCGCAGGUUCAAGUCCUGCCAACGUCU